GACGAACGCUGGCGGCGUGCUUAACACAUGCAAGUCGAACGGAAAGGCCCUGCUUUUGUGGGGUGCUCGAGUGGCGAACGGGUGAGUAACACGUGAGUAACCUGCCCUUGACUUUGGGAUAACUUCAGGAAACUGGGGCUAAUACCGGAUAGGAGCUCCUGCUGCAUGGUGGGGGUUGGAAAGUUUCGGCGGUUGGGGAUGGACUCGCGGCUUAUCAGCUUGUUGGUGGGGUAGUGGCUUACCAAGGCUUUGACGGGUAGCCGGCCUGAGAGGGUGACCGGCCACAUUGGGACUGAGAUACGGCCCAGACUCCUACGGGAGGCAGCAGUGGGGAAUAUUGCACAAUGGGCGGAAGCCUGAUGAAGCACCGCCGCGUGCGGGAUGACGGCCUUCGGGUUGUAAACCGCUUUCGCCUGUGACGAAGCGUGAGUGACGGUAAUGGGUAAAGAAGCACCGGCUAACUACGUG
rnacentral:rRNA from 1 species